AUUGAACGCUGGCGGCAGGCUUAACACAUGCAAGUCGAGGGGUAUAGUUCUUCGGAACUAGAGACCGGCGCACGGGUGCGUAACGCGUAUGCAAUCUACCUUUUGCAGAGGGAUAGCCCAGAGAAAUUUGGAUUAAUACCUCAUAGUAUGUGAGAAUGGCAUCAUUUUCACAUUAAAGUCACAACGGCAAAAGAUGAGCAUGCGUCCCAUUAUCUUGUUGGUAAGGUCACGGCUUACCAGGGCAACGAUGGGUAGGGGUCCUGAGAGGGAGUACCCCCACACUGAUACUGGGUCAAGGACCAGACACCUACGGAAGGCAGCAGGGAGGAAUAUUGGACAAUGGUCGCAAUCCUGAUCCAGCCAUGCCGCGUGCAGGAUGACGGUCCUAUGGAUUGUAAACUGCUUUUGUACAGGAAGAAACACUGGUUCGUGAACCAGCUUGACGGUACUGUAAGAAUAAGGAUCGGCUAACUCCGUGCCAGCAGCCGCGGUAAUAC
rnacentral:rRNA from 1 species